CCUACGGGGGGCAGCAGUGAGGAAUAUUGGUCAAUGGGCGGGAGCCUGAACCAGCCAAGUCGCGUGAAGGAAGAAGGUACUGAGUAUUGUAAACUUCUUUUGUCGGGGAACAAAGGCGGAGACGCGUCGGCGGAUGAGUGAACCCGAAGAAAAAGCAUCGGCCAACUCCGUGCGAGCAGCCGCGGUAAUACGGAGGAUGCGAGCGUUCUCCGGAUUUAGUGGGUUUAAAGGGUGCGCAGGCGGGAGAUCAAGUCAGCGGUAAAAGGUCGGGGCUCAACCCCGGCCGGCCGUUGAAACUGGUUUUCUAGAGUUGUCGAGAAGUAUGCGGAAUUCGUGGUGUAGCGGU
rnacentral:rRNA from 1 species